GACGGAGGAUGCAAGCGUUAUCCGGAAUUAUUGGGCGUAAAGCGUACGUAGGCGGCUUAUCAAGUCUGGGGUCAAAGACCACAGCUUAACUGUGGAAAGGCCUUGGAAACUGGUGAGCUGGAGUGAGGUAGGGGUUGCGGGAAUUCCCGGUGUAGCGGUGAAAUGCGUAGAUAUCGGGAAGAACACCUGAGGCGAAAGCGCGCGACUGGGCCUUAACUGACACUGAGGGACGAAAGCUAGGGGAGCGAAAGGG
rnacentral:rRNA from 1 species